rnacentral:rRNA from 1 species
AUUGAACGCUGGCGGCAGGCUUAACACAUGCAAGUCGAGCGGGGUGAUGGUGCUUGCACUAUCACUUAGCGGCGGACGGGUGAGUAAUGCUUAGGAAUCUGCCUAUUAGUGGGGGACAACAUCUCGAAAGGGAUGCUAAUACCGCAUACGUCCUACGGGAGAAAGCAGGGGAUCACUUGUGACCUUGCGCUAAUAGAUGAGCCUAAGUCGGAUUAGCUAGUUGGUGGGGUAAAGGCCUACCAAGGCGACGAUCUGUAGCGGGUCUGAGAGGAUGAUCCGCCACACUGGGACUGAAACACGGCACAGACUCCUACGGGAGGCAGCAGUGGGGAAUAUUAGACAAUGGGGGGAACCCUGAUCCAGCCAUGCCGCGUGUGUGAAGAAGGCCUUACGGUUGUAAAGCACUUUAAGCGAGGAGGAGGCUCUUUUGGUUAAUACCCAAGAUGAGUGGACGUUACUCGCAGAAUAAGCACCGGCUAACUCUGUGCCAGCCGCCGCAGUAA